GAACGCACAUUGCGCCCCCUGGUAUUCCGGGGGGCAUGCCUGUCCGAGCGUCAUUACAACCCUCAAGCUCAGCUUGGUGUUGGGCCCCGCCGCCCCGGCGGGCCCUAAAGUCAGUGGCGGUGCCGUCCGGCUCCGAGCGUAGUAAUUCUUCUCGCUCUGGAGGUCCGGUCGUGUGCUUGCCAUCAACCCCCAAUUUUUUUCAGGUUGACCUCGGAUCAGGUAGGGAUACCCGCUGAACUUAAG
rnacentral:misc_RNA from 1 species